GGUUCAAUUGCCUAAAGGUCUUAAGAAAGGCCCCUUUAAAUAGGCAUAAGGUUUGAAUCCUAUUCAAAACCAAACAAUCACUUAAUACAACUCCUACUUGCAUUAGGAAUCCUUAUUUCUUUAGUUAUUUGACUCCCUUUAGGAGAUCCUUUAGGCGCUAACUAUUAGAGCCUUUGCAUCCACAAAUACACAUCCCACAUGGCACCCAUGGAAAGCCUCAUGCUGGUCCCACACGCCCUC
rnacentral:lncRNA from 1 species